GAGUUUGAUCUUGCUCAGGAUGAACGCUGGCGGCGUGCCUAAUACAUGCAAGUCGAGCGAACGGACGAGAAGCUUGCUUCUCUGAUGUUAGCGGCGGACGGGUGAGUAACACGUGGAUAACCUACCUAUAAGACUGGGAUAACUUCGGGAAACCGGAGCUAAUACCGGAUAAUAUUUUGAACCGCAUGGUUCAAAAGUAAAAGACGGUCUUGCUGUCACUUAUAGAUGGAUCCGCGCUGCAUUAGCUAGUUGGUAAGGUAACGGCUUACCAAGGCAACGAUGCAUAGCCGACCUGAGAGGGUGAUCGGCCACACUGGAACUGAGACACGGUCCAGACUCCUACGGGAGGCAGCAGUAGGGAAUCUUCCGCAAUGGGCGAAAGCCUGACGGAGCAACGCCGCGUGAGUGAUGAAGGUCUUCGGAUCGUAAAACUCUGUUAUUAGGGAAGAACAUAUGUGUAAGUAACUGUGCACAUCUUGACGGUACCUAAUCAGAAAGCCACGGCUAACUACGUG
rnacentral:rRNA from 1 species